rnacentral:rRNA from 1 species
AGCCUGAACGCUGGCGGCGUGGCUAAGACAUGCAAGUCGUACGGUGUAGCGUAGCAAUACGCUGCACAGUGGCGAACGGGUGAGUAAUGAAUCGCUAACGUGCCCCGGACUCUGGGAUAGCCAUCCGAAAGGGUGGGUAAUACCGGAUGACAUCACCUCCUCGCAUGGGGAGGUGCUCAAAGGUCCGCCGGUCUGGGAGCGGGCGAUUUCGUAUCAGCUAGUUGGUGGGGUAACGGCCCACCAAGGCGACGACGCGUAGCCGGACUGAGAGGUUGGCCGGCCACAUUGGGACUGAGACACUGCCCAGACUCCUACGGGGGCUGCAGUAACGAAUCUUCCACAAUGCACGCAAGUGUGACGGAGCGACGCCGCGUGGAGGACGAAGUUCUUCGGAAUGUAAACUCUGUCAGAGGAAAGAAGUUCUGAUCUACCUCAGAGGAAGAGGCGGCUAACUCUGCGCCAGCAGCCGCGGU